CAGUCUAUUCCGAGCCGAAUUUCUGUGAUGAUAUUCCAGAUUUGAGAAGAUCUUCAUCCAGUAUUUCUGUGGUUAUACUGUUCCCUGUGCUGUAUAAUGGAUAACUCAAAUCAAUCUGUUAUCACCAUUAAACAAGAACCAGAAGAACUCCAUAACCAGGAUGAAGAAGAUCAAGGGUGUCUGGUAGCCAUGGAGCAACCUGAAGCAAACCAAGC